rnacentral:rRNA from 1 species
AUUGAACGCUGGCGGCAGGCCUAACACAUGCAAGUCGAGCGAAAGAGUGUGCUUGCACACUCGAAAGCGGCGGACGGGUGAGGAACGCGUGGGAAUCUGCCUGUAGCUGGGGGAUAGCCCGGAGAAAUCCGGAUUAAUACCGCAUAAUACCUGAGGGUUAAAGUGGAGGAUCGCAAGACUUCACGUCUACAGAUGAGCCAACGUCAGAUUAGCUAGUUGGUAGGGUAAAGGCCUACCAAGGCGACGAUCUGUAGCUGGCCUGAGAGGGUGGCCAGCCACACUGGAACUGAGACACGGUCCAGACUCCUACGGGAGGCAGCAGUGGGGAAUAUUGGACAAUGGGCGCAAGCCUGAUCCAGCCAUGCCGCGUGUGUGAAGAAGGCCUUCGGGUUGUAAAGCACCUUAAGUUGGGAGGAAGUUUCGAUGGCUAAUAUCCAUCGGAAUUGACGUUACCAACAGAAUAAGCACCGGCUAAUUCCGUGCCAGCAGCCGCGGUAA